CCUCAGACUGUGAAGAAAUUACUAAGAAAGACCAGCUAUUACUGAAUAUUCAUGCCCGCAGGUUAACCUUCACAGUACUUCUUUCAGUUACAAAGUAGCAGCAGCACUCACAAAAUAAAACGUCCAUUCUAAAAUACGUUCAUCUUUAACUUCUAUACUGCUUUAAAGAGCUUCUGCUUUGCUGUGGUGCAAAUGAAGAUAAAUCAUUAAUUUAAAUAUUGGACUCUUGGACUGGAAGAUUAUAUUUCUUAUUAAAUCCUCAGAAUAUUUUUCACCAGUCUGAAGAUUUGUUUUCGGAAAAGAAAUCUGAAAUUUUACCAUUAGACUGAAAACAGAAGUCUACAGCAAAGGUGUACCUGCAUGUGAACCCAAAGCCUCAUGUAAGAAUUGCACUCUUAACCUAGCAAGUUAUACUCUGGAAAGACUAUGAUGUGAACACAGCAGAACCUGAAGAUAAGCUGGGAAUGCGUUUUUCAUUUUUGCCCAAGACAUACUUCCUGAGAAAAUCCUGCCUCCAGUCCUUUUACAUAAUGAGUCAUGAAAAAAUAAAGCAUCAUAUUGUAACUCAAUGGUCAAUCUUUGCAGGCUCCCUGACAAGUUAUAUUAUCAGGCAUCUGAAAAUCUCACUGGGGGAUGC